GGAUGUGUCGUUUGAUCUUGGAUGUAGUAAGCGACGUACGAAGAACAGGCCCCUGGUAACCACAUUAACAUUACUGACACUCGCUGACUUAUUGUAGUCCCUAUAAAUGCUCUCCAUUGCAAUGGUCUUACCUGUAAACACUGCCAUAUCCACCAGAAUCUAGGGAGGCUUCCCAUCCUCCUGUUAGUGAUCCCCCAUCUGAAUGGAUGAUAACAACCUUCUGAACAAACUAGGUGUAGAAGGCCCCUACUGGCCCAUAUCUAUGGGGCUGAUUUCUGCCAAUAAUGCCCAUUGUAUGGACUGUUAACAUGCGAAUCGGGUGCCCAUUGCCUUUUACGGUUGACUCCAGGUAUUUAAACUAAUCCUUGCAUCUUCAGUAUUAUACAGUACCUAUCUCCCUCUCAUUCACACACAUCACAAAGAAGCUCUAAUGUUUAAUAGUAGCAAUACUCUUCACUUCUGUGUGUGAUUUUCUACAUUUGGCAGAGCAGCAGCCUGUGCUCACAGAUGGUGACGGUGUGAGAGACUGUGGUGUUUCCUCAGAAGAACUACCAGAGGGCACAAGUCCUGUGCUGUGUCAUCAAAUGUAUAUUCCACAUCUUCUAUGCGUACAGAUGCAGAGGCUCUGUAGAGGUUAGACAAAGCAGAGAAAAUGAAGAUCUGAUCUCUCACAAGAGGCAGAAGAUAAACCAUCCACAGCUAGAAAAGAAAUAGUUGUGAGUUGUAGAAUUUAUGGCCUCUCAUGUUGUACGUAGUGUGUUCUUUACAUUUUACUGUGAUUUUUGUCGGCUGAUGUUUAGAGUAGGAAUGGAAAGUGGAAUGAGAUGCAGAUGUUUUCACUGUCUAAUGAAGUGUUUAAAUCUUUAAUAAUAUUUAUUUGUUGGUCAAUUUAGGAGUGUUUUUCUGAACAUGGAGAAUUUCCAGUCUCCUGCUGCAGGUGAUGACUGUAACCCCAGAGCGAACUGGUCUGCAAAGCUAGAACAGGACUGAGAGAGAGAGCAGUCUUCAUCCAGCUUCAAAGAAAACAUCCAGGUAAAGCGACGCGGAUCAGUGGAUAAACUUGUCUCCACUUUCAAAUGAGAUACUCUUAGAGACAGACGAUCUGAGCCAUUUUAGCCUUAAAUUCUAGUACUUUCAAAUACACAAAAGUUUUUAAAGGACAAAACUUAACAUCCAACUUUGACCAUAAUUCAGACAAGCCAUUGCAUGUGUGUGUUCAAACUUCCACAGAUGGGCAGGAUAUCGCUGUCAGGCUGUCCAACCAGCCAACUUCAACAAAAGAACAUGGCAGGCCUCAGUGAUCACCACAGAUGAGUGUGUUCCUGCAACAUUCAGCAUCUGAUUUUUCUUGGUCUGUCUGCUUCUGCUGUUGUGUCAGCUGGAAAGGAAACCAUGCCAGUGUGCUGUGAUGUUUCACCAGCAUGUGCCAGAUGCUGUUCUUGCCAUUCAUAGUUACACCACCAGAGACAGCCCCGCCCACCUCAGGACCUCCCUGUGUCAAGUAUGAUUAUGAAGAUGAAAAUGAGCAGAACUAAGACUGUAAAAAUUCAUGAACAGAAUGUUUAAAUGCUUUUUAAUUAUUUAUGAAUCAUUAGUAUGUUUGUGUGUUUUGUCUUGUUUUUUGGCGUUGUCACCAACAAAGUUCACCAAACUCAGACAGUUUACAUUCUGUAUGUGUUUUCAUCUUUACCAGCCACACUCAAUUGUUGACUCAGUGACUUUAUCAAAUAUUCAAGUAGUCCAGGUAACCCUUGCUCUCAGUAAGUUUGAAGUAAUUUCCAUAUUUAUUUUGUAAUCUCUCUUCUUUCUGUGUUCUGCUCUGUUUGCGUGCUGCCUUUAACAGUUUUUCUCCUUUGUAACUGAGCUUGUAAACAGCUGCGUCUCUUUGUUCCCACAUCACCGUGUUAAGUUUUUCAGUGUCUGGUUAUUUUUUACUGCUGUUUGAAUUCUCUGUAUGUUUGACCCUGUAGACUGUUUAAUGGAUUGCUUAUCUUUCUGUUUGUAACCACUGCCUGUUUUUGACUAAAGAUUUGGAUUUUUGACUUUAAUACA